GAUUAGUCAGACUUUGGAGAAAGGAUCUCGAUUGAUUGUUCACAGUCAGUUACAGAUCCAACUCCUUGUUCUACUCUCGCCCCCCUUCUCACCACUGCACUUGACGAGUCUAAA
rnacentral:Y_RNA from 1 species